rnacentral:rRNA from 1 species
AUGAACGCUAGCGACAGGCUUAACACAUGCAAGUCGAGGGGCAGCAUGAUUUGUAGCAAUACAGAUUGAUGGCGACCGGCGCACGGGUGAGUAACGCGUAUGCAACUUACCUAUCAGAGGGGGAUAGCCCGGCGAAAGUCGGAUUAAUACCCCAUAAAACAGGGGUCCCGCAUGGGAAUAUUUGUUAAAGAUUCAUCGCUGAUAGAUAGGCAUGCGUUCCAUUAGGCAGUUGGCGGGGUAACGGCCCACCAAACCGACGAUGGAUAGGGGUUCUGAGAGGAAGGUCCCCCACAUUGGUACUGAGACACGGACCAAACUCCUACGGGAGGCAGCAGUGAGGAAUAUUGGUCAAUGGCCGAGAGGCUGAACCAGCCAAGUCGCGUGAAGGAAGAAGGAUCUAUGGUUUGUAAACUUCUUUUAUAGGGGAAUAAAGUGGAGGACGUGUCCUUUUUUGUAUGUACCCUAUGAAUAAGCAUCGGCUAACUCCGUGCCAGCAGCCGCGGUAAUACGGAGGAUGCGAGCGUUAUCCGGAUUUAUUGGGUUUAAAGGGUGCGUAGGUGGUGAUUUAAGUCAGCGGUGAAAGUUUGUGGCUCAACCAUAAAAUUGCCGUUGAAACUGGGUUACUUGAGUGUGUUUGAGGUAGGCGGAAUGCGUGGUGUAGCGGUGAAAUGCAUAGAUAUCACGCAGAACUCCGAUUGCGAAGGCAGCUUACUAAACCAUAACUGACACUGAAGCACGAAAGCGUGGGGAUCAAACAGGAUUAGAUACCCUGGUAGUCCACGCAGUAAACGAUGAUUACUAGGAGUUUGCGAUACAAUGUAAGCUCUACAGCGAAAGCGUUAAGUAAUCCACCUGGGGAGUACGCCGGCAACGGUGAAACUCAAAGGAAUUGACGGGGGCCCGCACAAGCGGUGGAGUAUGUGGUUUAAUUCGACGCAACGCGAAGAACCUUACCAGGCCUUGACAUCCCUUGCAGAGGUAUAGAGAUAUAUCCGAGGUUAUCAAGGAGACAGGUGGUGCAUGGUUGUCGUCAGCUCGUGUCGUGAGAUGUUGGGUUAAGUCCCGCAACGAGCGCAACCCUUAUCACUAGUUACUAACAGGUGAAGCUGAGGACUCUGGUGAGACUGCCAGCGUAAGCUGUGAGGAAGGUGGGGAUGACGUCAAAUCAGCACGGCCCUUACAUCCGGGGCGACACACGUGUUACAAUGGCAUGGACAAAGGGCAGCUACCUGGCGACAGGAUGCUAAUCUCCAAACCAUGUCUCAGUUCGGAUCGGAGUCUGCAACUCGACUCCGUGAAGCUGGAUUCGCUAGUAAUCGCGCAUCAGCCAUGGCGCGGUGAAUACGUUCCCGGGCCUUGUACACACCGCCCGUCAAGCCAUGGGAGCCGGGGGUACCUGAAGUCCGUAACCGCAAGGAUCGGCCUAGGGUAAAACUGGUGACUGGGGCU